rnacentral:rRNA from 1 species
GAGUUUGAUCCUGGCUCAGGAUGAACGCUAACGGCAGGCUUAACACAUGCAAGUCGAGGGGUAACAGGGAUUGCUUGCAAUCCGCUGACGACCGGCGCACGGGUGCGUAACGCGUAUGCAACCUACCUUUUACAAGGGGAUAGCCCAGAGAAAUUUGGAAUAAUACCCUAUACGAUCAUUAAUUGGCAUCAAUUAAUGAAGAAAACUCCGGUGGUAAAAGAUGGGCAUGCGUCCUAUUAGUUAGUUGGUAAGGUAACGGCUUACCAAGACUCCGAUAGGUAGGGGUCCUGAGAGGGAGAUCCCCCACACUGGUACUGAGACACGGACCAGACUCCUACGGGAGGCAGCAGUGAGGAAUAUUGGACAAUGGAGGCAACUCUGAUCCAGCCAUGCCGCGUGCAGGAAGACGGCCCUACGGGUUGUAAACUGCUUUUAUACAGGAAGAACUAUAUCUACGUGUAGAUAUUUGACGGUACUGUACGAAUAAGGAUCGGCUAACUCCGUGCCAGCAGCCGCGGUAAUACGGAGGAUCCAAGCGUUAUCCGGAAUCAUUGGGUUUAAAGGGUCCGUAGGCGGUCUAAUAAGUCAGAGGUGAAAUCCUACAGCUCAACUGUAGCAUUGCCUUUGAUACUGUUAGACUUGAGUUAUUGUGAAGUAGUUAGAAUGUGUAGUGUAGCGGUGAAAUGCAUAGAUAUUACACAGAAUACCGAUUGCGAAGGCAGAUUACUAACAAUAUACUGACGCUGAGGGACGAAAGCGUGGGUAGCGAACAGGAUUAGAUACCCUGGUAGUCCACGCCGUAAACGAUGGAUACUAGCUGUUCGAUCAACAUUGGUUGGUUGAGUGGCUAAGCGAAAGUGAUAA